rnacentral:rRNA from 1 species
UACGUAGGGUGCAAGCGUUAAUCGGAAUUACUGGGCGUAAAGCGUGCGCAGGCGGUGAUGUAAGACAGAUGUGAAAUCCCCGGGCUCAACCUGGGAACUGCAUUUGUGACUGCAUCGCUGGAGUACGGCAGAGGAAGGUGGAAUUCCAGGUGUAGCGGUGAAAUGCGUAGAGAUCUGGAGGAACACCGAUGGCGAAGGCAGCCUUCUGGGCCAACACUGACGCUCAUGCACGAAAGCGUGGGGAGCAAACAGG